rnacentral:piRNA from 1 species
UGACAAUAAGUGGUGUCGAUCUCUGAGAU